GUUGAACGCUGGCGGAAUGCUUUACACAUGCAAGUCGAACGGCAGCACGGACUUCGGUCUGGUGGCGAGUGGCGAACAGGUGAGUAAUGUAUCGGAACGUGCCCAGUCGUGGGGGAUAACGUAGUGAAAAUUACGCUAAUACCGCAUACGAUCUAUGGAUGAAAGCGGGGGAUCGCAAGACCUCGCGCGAUUGGAGCGGCCGAUAUCAGAUUAGGUAGUUGGUGGGGUAAAGGCCCACCAAGCCAACGAUCUGUAGCUGGUCUGAGAGGACGACCAGCCACACUGGAACUGAGACACGGUCCAGACUCCUACGGGAGGCAGCAGUGGGGAAUUUUGGACAAUGGGCGAAAGCCUGAUCCAGCCAUUCCGCGUGCAGGGUGAAGGCCCUCGGGUUGUAAACUGCUUUUGUACAGAACGAAAAGGUUUCUACUAAUACUAGGAGCUCAUGACGGUACUGUAAGAAUAAGCACCGGCUAACUACGUGCCAGCCGCCGCCGUAA
rnacentral:rRNA from 1 species